rnacentral:rRNA from 1 species
GACGAACGCUGGCGGCGUGCUUAACACAUGCAAGUCGAACGGUAAGGCCCUUCGGGGUACACGAGUGGCGAACGGGUGAGUAACACGUGGGUGAUCUGCCCUGCACUUCGGGAUAAGCCUGGGAAACUGGGUCUAAUACCGGAUAGGACCACUGCCUGCAUGGGUGGUGGUGGAAAGCUUUUGCGGUGUGGGAUGGGCCCGCGGCCUAUCGGCUUGUUGGUGGGGUGAUGGUCUACCAAGGCGACGACGGGUAGCCGGCCUGAGAGGGUGACCAGGCACACUGGGACUGGGAUACGGCGCAGACGCCUACGUGAGGCAGCAGUGGUGAAUCUUGCACAAUGGGCGCAAGCCUGAUACAGCGACGCCGCGUGAGGGAUGACGGCCUUCGGGUUGUGAACCUCUUUCAGCACCGACGAAGCGCAAGUGACGGUAGGUGCAGAAGAAGGACCGGCCAACUACGUGCCAGCCGCCGCAGUAA